rnacentral:rRNA from 1 species
UACAGAGGUCCCAAGCGUUGUUCGGAUUUCAUUUGGGCGUAAAGGGUGCGUAGGUGGCGUCGUAAGUCGGGUGUGAAAUUUUCGGAGCUUAACUCCGAAACUGCAUUCGAUACUGCGGUGCUUGAGGACUGGAGAGGAGACUGGAAUUCAUGGUGUAGCAGUGAAAUGCGUAGAGAUCAUGAGGAAGACCAGUGGCGAAGGCGGGUCUCUGGACAGUUCCUGACACUGAGACACGAAGGCCAGGGGGAGCAAAACGGGG